CCUACGGGAGGCAGCAGUGGGGAAUAUUGGGCAAUGGGCGAAAGCCUGACCCAGCAACGCCGCGUGAAGGAAGAAGGCUUUCGGGUUGUAAACUUCUGUUGACAGGGAAGAGCAGAAGACGGUACCUUAUGAAUAAGCAUCGGCUAACUCCGUGCCAGCAGCCGCGGUAAUACGGUGGAUGCGAGCGUUAUCCGGAUUUAUUGGGUUAAAGGGGUGCGUAGUCGGUUUUUUAAGUUAGUGGUUAAACGUCGGGGCUUCACCUUGAUUUGCCAUUAAUACUGUAAGACUCGAGUUCAGACGAGGUAGGCGGAAUAAGUUAAGUAGCGGUGAAAUGCUUAGAUAUAACUUAGAACACCGAUAGCGAAGGCAGCUUACCAGACUGCGACUGACGCUGAAGCACGAGAGCGUGGGUAGCGAACAGGAUUAGAUACCCUAGUAGUC
rnacentral:rRNA from 1 species